UGGGGAAUAUUGCACAAUGGGCGCAAGCCUGAUGCAGCCAUGCCGCGUGUGUGAAGAAGGCCUUCGGGUUGUAAAGCACUUUCAGCGAGGAGGAAGGUGGUGAGCUUAAUACGCUCAUCAAUUGACGUUACUCGCAGAAGAAGCACCGGCUAACUCCGUGCCAGCAGCCGCGGUAAUACGGAGGGUGCAAGCGUUAAUCGGAAUUACUGGGCGUAAAGCGCACGCAGGCGGUUUGUUAAGUCAGAUGUGAAAUCCCCGGGCUCAACCUGGGAACUGCAUUUGAAACUGGCAAGCUAGAGUCUCGUAGAGGGGGGUAGAAUUCCAGGUGUAGCGGUGAAAUGCGUAGAGAUCUGGAGGAAUACCGGUGGCGAAGGCGGCCCCCUGGACGAAGACUGACGCUCAGGUGCGAAAGCGUGGGGCAGCAAACAGGAUUAGAUACCCUGGUAGUCCACGCUGUAAAACGAUGUCGAUUUGGAGGUUGUGCCCUUGAGGCGUGGCUUCCGGAGCUAACGCGUUAAAUCGACCGCCUGGGGAGUACUGCCGCAAGGUU
rnacentral:rRNA from 1 species